rnacentral:sRNA from 1 species
UGGAGAACCUGUGGAUACGAUGGAACAACAACGGAUGUUGAAGCUGGCGCGGUUAGCGCUGUAUCAACGCAUAAACGAGAACAAAAA